rnacentral:rRNA from 1 species
UACGGAGGGUGCGAGCGUUGUCCGGAAUCACUGGGCGUAAAGGGCGCGUAGGCGGCCUGAUAAGUAGGGGGUGAAAUCUUGCGGCUUAACCGCAAGGCUGCCUUCUAAACUGUCAGGCUAGAGCACAGUAGAGGCAGGUGGAAUUCCCGGUGUAGCGGUGGAAUGCGUAGAGAUCGGGAAGAACAUCAGUGGCGAAGGCGGCCUGCUGGGCUGUUGCUGACGCUGAGGCGCGACAGCGUGGGGAGCAAA